AGGGUGGAAUUGAGCCAAGGAUGACUUGCCGUCCUUUGCAKCAAGCAUUGAAGCUUUAACUGGGCAUGCACGGCUAGUUAUUCUUGGCUCAUUUGGCCCCUCU
rnacentral:pre_miRNA from 11 species